AGCCCCUUUCUGUUCAAAAAAAUAAAAUAAUAAUAAUAAAAAAAAUCUGUUCUUAUCAGUUUAAUAUCUGAUACGUCCCCUAUCUGGGGACCAUAUAUUAAAUGGAUUUUUCGAACAGGUAGAUGGAAAAAGAGCUUGCUCUGUUCACUCCACACAUUGACCUGGUAUUGCAGUACCUCCAGGACCGGCUCUGCCCAG